CGGGAUAGUCCAGUUG
rnacentral:tRNA from 1 species